GCUGUGGUACACGCUCGUCUUGGCAUCAUGUAAAUUGUCUGAAUCAAUCACAAUGGUGAAAACGUGGCGUCUUAAACAGUCUGUGUAUGCUAGGCGUGACUGAAGGGGAUUCUUUCACCAACAAUUGUAUUUAUUUAUAACUUUUAAGGAUGACCAGACUUUACCUGAUACUAGUGAUUGUGUGUAUUACUACCGCCGCUUCGCCCAAAAGAGCUCAAAAUAUUCUCACAGAUGAGGAUACCUCUGAAUGCUGUAAAAGAGGGAAUUGGGAUUCAUGUCUCUGUGAGGACAUGCACAGGGCUGGCAUCUGUGUAGAAAAACAAUGCUUUGGCUGCAAGGAAUGUAAAGUGAAAAUAUUUAAGUGAGGAUUGAAUGGUUACAAGGAAACGCUGUCUGCUUGAAUGUUACCGAAACAGUACAAAUGGAGAUUAUGCCAACUUAAAACAGCUCACUAUGUAUGUAAACCAAAGAAUGAAUAUAAUGACUGAGAGGAAUGCACACAAAUAACAAUUGAAAAAAAGGUUAUUCUUAGUUAUAUAUGUUGAAGGUAAUUAGCAUGCACAAGUAUCAAAAUUGAAAUAUAUAAUUUAUUUUACAUUUAUUCAAGGUGAUACUUUUUGUAUAAAUUGUUGAGCAUUUCUGCUAUUGAUACUGAUAAUAUUAUUUAACUUUUUCUACGGGAAAUAGUGGCAUUCUUCUACAAUAAUUGAUGACACUAUUCAAAUGUUUUAUAGGAUUUUCUAUUAUAAAAUAAUUUCUUUUCCAAAAUUAAUGUUGAAAAUAUUGUUAUUUUUCUACAAGUAAUGUUGAUAUUAUUUUGCAAUAAAUGUCAAUAGCAUUCUACAAUAAAAAGUAUAGUGAUAUUUUGUUUUACUAUUAUGAAAUAGCGAUAAUGGUUAUACUUUUCUACAAUACUUGGUUUACAAAGCUCUACUUUUCAUUUGAAUUUAAUUUUGAUUUUCUAAUUAAAGAAUUCGAAAAUUUAAAUCUGUCUAGCACGGUGGUGGAUGCUGUGCCCGUCCGCUGUCCAUAAGUGUGUUCAUAAAAAAGGUGCAUUGUAGCACAAUGUACACUUUUCGAUGACGUCAUGGUGUUGACUAUUUUUUUCAUAUUUUGCUUGUGUUUGUUUUAUUAUAAUAACAUUGGUAUUGUAAUGUGUAAUGUGUUGGGUACCAAAUGAAUAAUUAUUACUUCUGAUAUAUCGUGAACUAGGAAAACGAAACGAAAACCUGCCAGUGUCCAUCAAUAUAUGCCUGGGAAGAUGUAUCGUUUACCAUAGUGUCCUGCUGAUUAUCGGCAAAUAAUCUGCUAUUGUUAAGUGUAGCAUUAAUGUUUCUGGUCAAAUUCAUUGAAAAGGAACAGAAGUGUACCACAAAUUAAAUAAUAAUCAUCCAAGUUUUGAAAUUCAUAUGAUUAAGGCUUAUUGUCCACCCUCCGCUUUGUUUCACAAGUAGUUUAGUCCAAUUUGAAUUGGUGCAGUCACACAUGCGUUUCAUUCAAAGAGUAAGUGCUGGAGUCAUAUAAUAUUGACUAGAAAUGCAAACCUAAUAAAUCACAGCAAUUGUGCUCUCAUUUCUUUAAACAAAAAUAAAGCACAUUGCGAGUAACAGGAAUUUACUGUACACGUGAAAGUAUUUUGUUCGGAUCAUGUAUCCUCGCACAGGAAUUAGUUUGCCAUAGGGCACCUAGCUUACUCCAGACCAGACAUAAUAACACUUUUAAUCGUCAUUUGUUGAGGUUAUUUAACCAUUUUAUUACAGAUUAUGUCCGUUUGAAUCACAACUACUGGGCAUUUAAUAAUAUUGUCAGUUUAAUACUUAAUUAAGCACCUUUUAAAUAUUUUUCUGUCAUUUUUUCUGCUUUAAAUUGUUUUCAAAACUGCGUGAAUACAAUUACAUGUUACUUAAUAUGUCGACUGAACAAUAAAGUAUGGCAUUACACUA